rnacentral:rRNA from 1 species
AAACUUUCAACAACGGAUCUCUUGGUUCUGGCAUCGAUGAAGAACGCAGCGAAAUGCGAUAAGUAAUGUGAAUUGCAGAAUUCAGUGAAUCAUCGAAUCUUUGAACGCACAUUGCGCCCGCCAGUAUUCUGGCGGGCAUGCCUGUCCGAGCGUCAGUU